CAGGGAGACAACAAAAUGUUUAAUAUUAUUAUUUUGUCACCUUAGGUCGAUCGGUAUCUCACGUUCUUAAUUUUUUAAGAAUUUCAUUUCCUAAGUUUUUCUAGGUCACACCCAUUAUUUUUCCUGGGCCAUUAGCUCAGGUGGUUAGAGCGCACCCCUGAUAAGGGUGAGGUCCCUGGUUCAAGUCCAGGAUGGCCCAUAUCUCUAUGUUGGGGGUAUAGCUCAGUUGGUAGAGCGCCUGCUUUGCAAGCAGGAUGUCAGCGGUUCGAGUCCGCUUACCUCCACUGAUUACCACCUCUUCCAUAACAGGUAGAAAGGAAAUGUUUUGAGUUGUGAUCAUUAUUCUGAACGAAUCUAGCUUCCUAAUGAAAUCAUUAAGAUGCUGGACUCAUUGAAUUAAUUUCAUUGUUUUCAGAGAACCUUGACAACUGCAUAGAUUAUUUUUAAAGACAAUAAGCAUCUUUAAUGAUGCAGAUUUAUUAUUUGUGCGAAUGCAUUAAUAACAAUUCUAUUAAGCUGAUGCUUCAAUUUUUGAAGUUAUU
rnacentral:tRNA from 1 species